CAUUGAAUUAGAUAUAACAUUUUUAAGCAAAGAAACAGUUUAUUUUUUAGAGAGAUUGAUAAGAUAUUGAUUCCUGAAUGGUCCAAAACAACCAAAAUGGCAUGUCCCUAGACCGCCUGUUCAACAUUCAUACUCUCAAAUAUCGUAAAAAAAUGAAGAAAUAAAUAUUAAUUUUACUUAAUAUAAGUUCUUUAAUAAUUCAAAAGUAUGUUUAGAGCCAACAUAUUUUAAUAAACAGCUUUUAACAUAGGAUUUUUUAUUUUAGAAGGUGUGUCCCUAACACAAUGUCCA
rnacentral:lncRNA from 1 species